AUUGAACGCUGGCGGCAGGCCUAACACAUGCAAGUCGAACGGUAACAGGAAACAGCUUGCUGUUUCGCUGACGAGUGGCGGACGGGUGAGUAAUGUCUGGGAAACUGCCUGAUGGAGGGGGAUAACCACUGGAAACGGUAGCUAAUACCGCAUAACGUCGCAAGACCAAAGAGGGGGACCCUCGGGCCUCUUGCCAUCGGAUGUGCCCAGAUGGGAUUAGCUUGUUGGUGGGGUAACGGCUCACCAAGGCGACGAUCCCUAGCUGGUCUGAGAGGAUGACCAGCCACACUGGAACUGAGACACGGUCCAGACUCCUACGGGAGGCAGCAGUGGGGAAUAUUGCACAAUGGGCGCAAGCCUGAUGCAGCCAUGCCGCGUGUAUGAAGAAGGCCUUCGGGUUGUAAAGUACUUUCAGCGGGGAGGAAGGGAGUAAAGUUAAUACCUUUGCUCAUUGACGUUACCCGCAGAAGAAGCACCGGCUAACUCCGUG
rnacentral:rRNA from 1 species